UGCUGUGCUGGUGAAGAUCCUUUCCCAUAUGUUUGGUUGUCUUUCUAGUUUGGUGGCUAUGUCUUUAGCUGUGCAGAAACUUUUUAUUUUAUAGUAGUCCCAUUUGUCGAGUCUUUCCCCUAUUUGUUGUGCCCCUGGGAUUAUAUUCAGGAAGUUCCUUCCUGUGCCUAUAAGUUCUAGCGUCUUUCCUACUCUGUCUUUCAGU